rnacentral:rRNA from 1 species
GGCUUCGCCUGUUUAACAAAAACAUAGUUUAAAGAAAAAGAUUUUAGAUAAAUUCUGCUCAAUGAGUAAAUUAAAUAGCUGCAGUAAAUUAACUGUACUAAGGUAGCAUAAUAAGUUGCUUUAUAAUUAAAAGCUUGAAUGAAAGAAAUAAUGUGAAACAAGCUUUUUAAACUAAAGUAGUAAAAAUUAAUAUUUAAGUGAAAAAUCUUAAAUAAAAUCAAAAGACAAGAAGACCCUUUAGAACUUUACAAAUUAACUUAAUUUCAUUUGGUUAAUUUGUUAGAUUGGGGAGAUUUUUAAAUAAAUAAAUCUUUAGAUAUAAAAAAAUGAUUUAAAUCAAAUUAAAUUAUCCAAAUAUGAAAUAAAACAAGUUACCUAAGGGAUAACAGCGCAAAAUUUUUGAGAAGUUCUCAUUUACAAAAUAAAUUGCGACCUCGAUGUUGGAUUAAGAACAACUUAUAAAGAAAAAUUUAUAAGAGUUGGUCUGUUCGCC